rnacentral:rRNA from 1 species
UACAGAGGUGGCAAGCGUUGUUCGGAAUUACUGGGCGUAAAGGGCGCGUAGGCGGCUUCGUAAGUCUCGUGUGAAAGCCCUCGGCUUAACUGAGGAUCUGCACGGGAUACUGUGAGGCUUGAGUUCGGGAGAGGAAAGCGGAAUUCCGGGUGUAGCGGUGAAAUGCGUAGAUAUCCGGAGGAACACCAGAGGCGAAGGCGGCUUUCUGGACCGACACUGACGCUGAGGCGCGAAAGCUAGGGGAGCAAACGGG